UUGAAGUUCAUAAGAAGUUUGUCACACGUCCAGAGUGUGUGCACAGCAGAGUGUGCAUGGUUGGGACAGACCUCCAUCUCCAGCUGAUUGUAUGGGAGUGUUUCCUGUGCAAACUGCAGCAGCUGGUGGCAGCCAGCACCUGAGGGGCAGUGGCUGUUGGAAAGAAUAUCCUUGAAUGUCGCCAAGAGGACUCAAAAGGUGAAGGGAGCACUGGAGCCAUGAAACACCAACAGCAGGGCCUGAAAGACAAGUGGGGAACAGUCACCGGAGCGGUCGGCAAUGGCUGUUCCUCUGGUCAGGAACGUGGAGCCAGCCAUAUCCACAGCAGCAGUGCAGCCCUGUUGGUGUGCUGAAUGGCGAGCCCUUCCCUUGGGUUGUGCACCUGCUGAGAUGCCCCAUCUAGAUCCCAUGCAGGAUAUCAGGACUUUUCCCAACAAUGACAACAUUCUCUCCAACUUCCUGCAUAUCCUGGGCUAGGAGUUGACUUUCUUGUGGGGAGAAAACAAGUGAUUCCUGAUCCAGAUUUACAACUUCUGGGGUUUUUUCAGUGUGGGGAUCAAGGCACCAGCUUUCCUAAUUAAGGCCUUCAAGUUAAAUCUGUUUGCAAAUAUUAAUCAGUAAAAGCAGCCAGUACUCAUAUUGUGAACAGCACUACACAUUUCUGUCAGUAAGUUGCAAAUAUUUGCAGCUAAACACUGAGCAAAAUACA